rnacentral:ncRNA from 2 species
CGGAAUAGCGCGUUUCACGGUGCCGUCCGGGUGCAGGUGCGCCCGGGCGCUUAAAAGGGAAGUUCGGUGAAAGUCCGACGCGGUCCCGCCACUGUGACGGGGAGCGCCCUGCGACAGCCACUGUCUCGCUUGAUUCGGGGAGAUGGGAAGGUGCAGGGGGCGAUGAACCCAAGCCAGGAGACCUGCCGUGAAGCGAUCACGCUC